CCAAACCCAAAUAUUAAAAAUGAUGCUAUUAAAAAAGUGUGCAGUGCAUCAACUCUUCAUUUAACGGAUUAAAGUUUGAAUCGGACAGCAGCCAAUCAAAUUGUGCCAGCGGAGAAAAAGUUGCGCGUGGCAGUGCAGAGGAACGUCAAUGGGUGAAUUCAGAUUGAGCUAUUGGAAAUUUUCGGAUAUACAGAAUACGCUGUAGUCAACAAAAACAGAUUGCAACUUGCAAAACAAGCGGGAAGAAAAUUACAGAUGGAGGUGCAACAACUUCCAACUUUGUUCUACAUUUGAAGCUGCCCAAAGGACGGUAAAUCGUGGCUAAUAUAGCCGACAGCUAUAUAUAACCUUGCUAGUAUAACAUGUAGGCUAACAUAACGUUAAAUCAUUGAGCCUCCACACAGUCAACCAGUGCGGGAACUUGGUCAUUGCACCCAAGAUUGAGACCAGGCAAGAUUGUGCUACUGCCCCGCUCAAUUAUUUUUUUAUAUGCUUACAGAUUUGAACAAUACCAGAUGAACAAAAGUGUAACAAGUGAACCACAACAAUCUCCAAUCUCACAGUUCACGGAGACCCGUGUAAGGCAGUACAGCAUGAAUCAUCCACAGCAGAAAGCUAUCAACAAUGCAAUACUGUCCGACCUGGUUAUCGAUUGCAACUUGACUCUGUAUAUUGUGGAAAACAAGAGUUUUCGUCACAUUCUGUCAGUGGUUGACAGUAAGUACAGCCCAGUGUGUCGUAGAACAUUGACAUCAAAAGUUGAGAACCUCGCUACAGAGAGACGUUCAAAACUGAAAUCUCAGUUGAGCAACACAGACUAUGUUUCAGUCACAGUGAACAUUUGGUCUGACCAAAGGAUGAGGGGGUUCCUUGGUGUCACUGUGCACUGUAUGGAGAGAGGAUACAGCUCAAGUCCAAUCUCUUGGACUGUCUCCGCUUCAAAGGCCCACACACUGCUGAAAGAAUCUGUGAGCAAGUUGAAGCCAUAUGUGGUGAGUACAGUGUUAAAGAUAAAUGAGACUAUAUCAUUAGUGACAAUGCUCCCAACAUGAGAAAAGCAUUCAUGGUGUGCUUCCCCAUUGAACAAGAAGAUGAAGUACAUGACGAAGAUCACCUUGAUGACCCAGAGCUCUGGAAUGACCUAACCCUGGAAGACCAGCAAACAGUGAAUGCUGCUAUUGCAAAAAAGCAGCGCUUGCAGUGUUUUGCUCACACUCUCCAGCUGGUGGUGGGAGAUGGCUUGAAAGAAACAAAAGUGAUGACUCCUCUUUCAAAGUUAUCAAAAAUCAGCUCACUGCUACAUACAAGCACAACAUUCAAAGAGGUGUUUGAGGCUGAAUUUGGGGAAAGAGGCAUCCCUGCUGCUGUCAACACACGAUGGAACUCAACACUGAGACAAGUGAAGGCAGUUAUACCAAUGUGCUCAUCGAAAGCUCAGUCAUGUUCUAGAAAAGGCUGGGUACAAGGAGUUGUUGUUCACAGUACGGGAGUGGAAUAAGUUGAAGGAGUUGGUGGACAUCCUGAGGCCAAUUGGAGAAGCAACAGAUAUGACACAGGGGAGAAGAUAGUCACAGUCAGUUCUGUUGUUCCCUCGGUCCUGUCUCUGAAUCACCACCUGGAGCAGCGGAAGCCUCAAGUCCAUUUCCUGAGCGGCCUGGUCAGAAGUCUCCAGGCAUCCCUGAACAAAAGAUUUCUUGGAAUCUUCAUCAAUGUGAAGAUGGCCAGGACACAAGAUGGAAUCGCUGCCCCCUUUUCAGAUUCAGUCUACCUCAAAGCAGCUGCCUUGGAUCUGGAUUUUGCUCUGAUGUGGAACACCAUGUGCUGGUCAAGGAGGUGGCACAAAGAGUGAAAGAACUGAUUCUGCAAGAUGCUACAGGGACUGAGCAAGCUGUGCUUCUUGUUGAUGAGGAAGUGCGAGAGGACCAUAGUCUUGGACAAGAAGAAGGGCUGUUUGCAGCAUACUGUAAGAGGCAGAAGAAAGCUGUUGAUACCACUCCAGCACUACAGCUAAGUCACUACCUUGACAUAUGCGAAGGACAGAAUGCCCUCUUGUUCUGGGCAAUGAACAGGAAGGCUCUUCCUUCGCUCUCCCGAGUGGCCAUCAGACUUGGCAGUGCCUGCCUCCAGUGCUCCGGUGGAGCGUGUCUUCAGCCAUGGUGGCAUCAUACUGUGGCCUCAUCGUGCACAAAUAUCUGACUGACUUUUAGCUAAUUUGGUCUUUUGCAAAUGCAAUGCAUCAUAGGGCCCUGAGAUAAGAGAAAAAAUGAAACUGUUUAUGCAUUACACACACACACACACACACGUAGUCUCCAUGUUCAGGUUUUAUCUCCCAUCUUUGGGAUCUGUAUUUUUUUCUCAGACAUUCAGGCCGGCGUUCAAAUUGUUGGCCUAUUUGAAGUUCAGUGUCAGUUGUUUGAUGUACCUUUUAAUAAAUGAUUUUAACUUUGUGGCAGGAUUGUUUUACGUGUCUAGAGUAUAUCUGGAGAGCGAGAGCACUACAAUAUUUAGUUUUUGUUGUCAUAUUGAUGUCUUUCUCAUGGCUACCCAUGUACUUCCAUGGAAAUAAAGUUUAUUUGGAAAGUAAUAAAUAUAUAAUUUUAAAAGCAUU